UAGAUACCCUGGUAGUCCACGCUGUAAACGAUGGAUACUAGCUGUUUGAUGAUAAGUUGAGUGGCUAAGCGAAAGUGAUAAGUAUCCCACCUGGGGAGUACGCACGCAAGUGUGAAACUCAAAGGAAUUGACGGGGGCCCGCACAAGCGGUGGAGCAUGUGGUUUAAUUCGAUGAUACGCGAGGAACCUUACCAAGGUUUAAAUGGGGACUGACAGGUGUAGAGAUACGCCCUUCUUCGGACAGUUUUCA
rnacentral:rRNA from 1 species